rnacentral:rRNA from 1 species
AUUGAACGCUGGCGGUAGGCCUAACACAUGCAAGUCGAACGAAGCACCUUAUUCUGAUUUCUUCGGAAUGAAAAAUUUGGUGACUGAGUGGCGGACGGGUGAGUAACGCGUGGGUAACCUGCCUCAUACAGAGGGAUAACAGUUAGAAAUGACUGCUAAUACCGCAUAAGACCACAGCACCGCAUGGUGCAGGGGUAAAAACUCCGGUGGUAUGAGAUGGACCCGCGUCUGAUUAGGUAGUUGGUGGGGUAACGGCCUACCAAGCCGACGAUCAGUAGCCGACCUGAGAGGGUGACCGGCCACAUUGGGACUGAGACACGGCCCAAACUCCUACGGGAGGCAGCAGUGGGGAAUAUUGCACAAUGGGGGAAACCCUGAUGCAGCGACGCCGCGUGAGCGAUGAAGUAUUUCGGUAUGUAAAGCUCUAUCAGCAGGGAAGAAAAUGACGGUACCUGACUAAGAAGCACCGGCUAAAUACGUGCCAGCAGCCGCCGUAAAAC